UACGAAGGGUGCAAGCGUUACUCGGAAUUACUGGGCGUAAAGCGUGCGUAGGUGGUUUGUUAAGUCUGUUGUGAAAGCCCCGGGCUCAACCUGGGAAUGGCAAUGGAUACUGGCAAGCUAGAGUGCGGUAGAGGGUAGUGGAAUUCCCGGUGUAGCGGUGAAAUGCGUAGAGAUCGGGAGGAACACCAGUGGCGAAGGCGGCUCUCUGGGACGGUACUGACGCUGAGACGCGAAAGCGUGGGGAGCGAACAGG
rnacentral:rRNA from 1 species